AGUGGCGGGCGGGCCCUACACAUGCAAGUCGAGCGGUAGCACAGAGAGCUUGCUCUCGGGUGACGAGCGGCGGACGGGUGAGUAAUGUCUGGGAAACUGCCUGAUGGAGGGGGAUAACUACUGGAAACGGUAGCUAAUACCGCAUAAUGUCGCAAGACCAAAGAGGGGGACCUUCGGGCCUCUUGCCAUCAGAUGUGCCCAGAUGGGAUUAGCUAGUAGGUGGGGUAACGGCUCACCUAGGCGACGAUCCCUAGCUGGUCUGAGAGGAUGACCAGCCACACUGGAACUGAGACACGGUCCAGACUCCUACGGGAGGCAGCAGUGGGGAAUAUUGCACAAUGGGCGCAAGCCUGAUGCAGCCAUGCCGCGUGUAUGAAGAAGGCCUUCGGGUUGUAAAGUACUUUCAGCGGGGAGGAAGGUGUUGAGGUUAAUAACCUCAGCAAUUGACGUUACCCGCAGAAGAAGCACCGGCUAACUCCGUGCCAGCAGCCGCGGUAAUACGGAGGGUGCAAGCGUUAAUCGGAAUUACUGGGCGUAAAGCGCACGCAGGCGGUCUGUCAAGUCGGAUGUGAAAUCCCCGGGCUCAACCUGGGAACUGCAUUCGAAACUGGCAGGCUAGAGUCUUGUAGAGGGGGGUAGAAUUCCAGGUGUAGCGGUGAAAUGCGUAGAGAUCUGGAGGAAUACCGGUGGCGAAGGCGGCCCCCUGGACAAAGACUGACGCUCAGGUGCGAAAGCGUGGGGAGCAAACAGGAUUAGAUACCCUGGUAGUCCACGCCGUAAACGAUGUCGACUUGGAGGUUGUGCCCUUGAGGCGUGGCUUCCGGAGCUAACGCGUUAAGUCGACCGCCUGGGGAGUACGGCCGCAAGGUUAAAACUCAAAUGAAUUGACGGGGGCCCGCACAAGCGGUGGAGCAUGUGGUUUAAUUCGAUGCAACGCGAAGAACCUUACCUACUCUUGACAUCCAGAGAACUUUCCAGAGAUGGAUUGGUGCCUUCGGGAACUCUGAGACAGGUGCUGCAUGGCUGUCGUCAGCUCGUGUUGUGAAAUGUUGGGUUAAGUCCCGCAACGAGCGCAACCCUUAUCCUUUGUUGCCAGCGGUCCGGCCGGGAACUCAAAGGAGACUGCCAGUGAUAAACUGGAGGAAGGUGGGGAUGACGUCAAGUCAUCAUGGCCCUUACGAGUAGGGCUACACACGUGCUACAAUGGCGCAUACAAAGAGAAGCGACCUCGCGAGAGCAAGCGGACCUCAUAAAGUGCGUCGUAGUCCGGAUUGGAGUCUGCAACUCGACUCCAUGAAGUCGGAAUCGCUAGUAAUCGUAGAUCAGAAUGCUACGGUGAAUACGUUCCCGGGCCUUGUACACACCGCCCGUCACACCAUGGGAGUGGGUUGCAAAAGAAGUAGGUAGCUUAACCUUCGGGAGGGCGCUUACCCACCUUUGAAUUGCCAGGA
rnacentral:rRNA from 1 species